UACGUAGGGUGCAAGCGUUGUCCGGAAUUAUUGGGCGUAAAGAGCUCGUAGGCGGUUCGUCGCGUCGGCUGUGAAAACCCGGAGCUCAACUCCGGGCCUGCAGUCGUACGGGCGGACUUGAGUGUUGCAGGGGGAGACUGGAAUUCCUGGUGUAGCGGUGAAAUGCGCAGAUAUUAGGAGGAACACCGGUGGCGAAGGCGGG
rnacentral:rRNA from 1 species